ACCCAUAGAGACCACUAGCAGAAAAAAUAGGUAGCAGCACUCUGCAUCAAACAUAGUAAGGCAACAAGUAGCAGAUGAACUACAGUAGAACCCCAGAGAUAGUAGAAGCACUGUAGCAAGUAAAAUUCAGAGUAUAAUCUGUCAGUAGGCAUGAUGUUGAACGUGCAGAGUGGAGAAGAAGUCGAAGCCUGUAAUAAGAUCACCCCA
rnacentral:lncRNA from 1 species